AGAGAGAGAGAGAGAGGCUUUAUUUUAUUUUAUUUUAUUUUAUUUUAAAUUUUUUUGGGUUAUGGUUUCAGAUUCCAGAUGGUAAGUGCCACAACGUUUUGAUUUUUGUUUGUGAAAUGGGUUGUUGAAAUCUUGGAUGCAUUUGAGGAGUCCAGGUAUUUAGGGUUGAUAUUUUUUUUAGAUGGUUAUAAAGGGUUGUUCGUCUCC
rnacentral:lncRNA from 1 species